GAAUGUGAAAGCGAUCUUGCUGCAACAUAUGACACCCCAUUGAUCUCCAGGAUUGGUCUGGCUGAUCUGGUGGGCUAAUUUGGUGUCCCUUCCUCCCUCAUCGCUUCAUGUGCAUCCCUCUAAGCUGCAUGCUUGGUCGCAGAGGUCAACUUUCCCCAAUAGAGGAGGACUGUUCUUCCAUCCAAGUUAUAGAAGUAGUUCUGUUUCCCUGCUAGAACCUGCAAAGAAGCUGUCAAGGUCCACUGAUAUUCUUUAAAGCCUGAAAAUUAAGGUUUCAAUGAAAGAAAUGACUAAUAAACAGAUAAUUACAAUUGGUUGUCAUUAU
rnacentral:snRNA from 1 species